CUCACCUUGCUCCAUAAGAUAUCUGCGUAUUUCUAGAAUUUGGAAAACCUAACAAAAUUCUAACCAUCAUCAUCAACAAAAGCAAUACAUGUAUAUACAUAAAUGAAAUGCAGAUAUGCACUUACAACGUGAGAGUUGUUGGUUGAAGAAAUUGAAGAACAAGGUUAAAUUUUGUACGAAAGGAUAGAUAGAUCCAGAACAGACAUUCUUAAAGCCAACCAAUAAUACAAAAAUCAGUUACAUAUAAUCUUAAUCUUACUGAUCAUUUACCUGUUUUUAUCUCGUGUUUUCUAUUAAUUCACGUCUCUGCAUCCUUCACAAAUCACAAACCAGACAUUUUAUGGAACCCACAGAGCAGUGUUCCAGCUUUCACCUUCUUCUCUCCAACUCCAUUCUUGCUUUUCCUCCUCCACAAUCUUUGCUUAACAAAUUCACUCAAAGCGUUAACCAUGGAAGAUCGAACAUGGGUAUUAUUCGAUGCAUCAGAAGCUGCACAAAGUUUCAUGGACGGCCGUUUUCUUGAUCCUCCAAGAGAUGGCAGAAUCAUGAGAUGGCGAUCAAUGUGAUGGCUGAGAGACACCAACUCAUAAGAAUCAUAUAAUGGACUGCCUAAGUCCCAUAUGGGUAUGGUUUUCUCAUCAUUUUCUAGGGAUUCUGACGUUUUCUUCAUGGGAAUCCGCAGGUCUUUUGUUUGGUUUCGCGGAAAACGUAGAACUAGAAGAAUAGACUGCUGACAAAUUAAUUAAACUUGCAUUGUGAGACUUAGCACAGAGAUUCUGAUGAUUUUAUGCAAUGGAUACAGUUUUGAGGUUCCGAAAAUGCCCCUACAAACCAGAGGGGAAUAUGCGAAUUACAGGGGUAGUAUUGUCAUUUAGGAC
rnacentral:lncRNA from 1 species